CCUACGGGAGUCAGCAGUGGGGAAUAUUGCACAAUGGGGGAAACCCUGAUGCAGCGACGCCGCGUGAGUGAAGAAGUAUUUAGGUAUGUAAAGCCCUGUCAGCAGGGAAGAAAAUGACGGUACCUGACCAAGAAGCCCCGGCUAACUACGUGCCAGAAGCCGCGGUAAUACGUAGGGGGCAAGCGUGAUCCGGAUUUACUGGGUGUAAAGGGAGCGUAGACGGCAGGGCAAGUCUGGAGUGAAAGGGGGGGGCUCAACCCCCGGACUGCUCUGGAAACUGCCAGGCUGGAGUGCAGGAGAGGUAAGUGGAAUUCCUAGUGUAGCGGUGAAAUGCGUAGAUAUUAGGAGGAACACCAGUGGCGAAGGCGGCUUACUGGACUGUAACUGACGUUGAGGCUCGAAAGCGUGGGGAGCAAACAGGAUUAGAUACCCGAGUAGUC
rnacentral:rRNA from 1 species